AUUGAACGCUGGCGGCAGGCUUAACACAUGCAAGUCGAGCGCGCGGCGGACGGGUGAGUAAUGUCUGGGAAACUGCCUGAUGGAGGGGGAUAACUACUGGAAACGGUAGCUAAUACCGCAUACCAUCAGAUGUGCCCAGAUGGGAUUAGCUAGUAGGUGGGGUAAUGGCUCACCUAGGCGACGAUCCCCAGCUGGGCUGAGAGGAUGACGAGCCACACAGGAACUCAGACCCGGUCCAGAGUCAUACGGGAGGGAGCAGGGGGGAAUAGUCAACAUGGGGGGGAAGCAUGAGACAGCGAUGCCGCGGGUGUGAAGAAGGCGUGUGGGUUGUAAAGCACUGUCAGUGAGGAGGCGUGAUUCGCAGAAGAAGCACCGGCUAACUCCGUGCCAGCAGCCGCGGUAAUAC
rnacentral:rRNA from 1 species